GUCUCUCCAGCUUUUAAAAACGUCUUUCAGUUUUUGCCUUGCUCUUGACUGAUAGUUGUGCCAAUGGGCUGAGCUUACCCACACCCUGCUUGGGUGCUCUGCAGAGCUCUCCUGUUGUCUGUGACAAAUGCAUCAGCACGGUAACUAUCUAACUGUUGCUGCUUUGCGGGCACCGGCCUUCUGUCUGCUGUUGCAGCUGCUUGUGUUGAGUGUGGCUGCUUUCUUUUGAUUCCUGGCUGUUUUCUUUUGAUGCCGUCUAGAGGAAAACAUCUGAAGCAUCCGAGAAGCCACAGGAGGGCCCUGGCUGCGGGACUCCUUCCAGAACCACCUGGCUUCAGCUUUGCCCAUAAAAGCGGAGCCACGUGGAGUUUCAGUCUAGUUCUCAGGAACACGGACGUUCUUACCCAACUGGAGACGAGCCCCUAAGUGCAAAGACUUGGCAGCUGAAGCUCUGUGAAGAGAACCGCCAUUGUGUGAUGUUUGUCGCUACUUUUUGCUCUUUAUUCUGAGUCCUAGUUAUGCCCGUGGCAUGCUUGUCUCUCGUGUGUGUGUGUGUGUGUGUGUGUGUGUGUAUUUGUGUGCGCGUGACGUCCAUGGGGUUCAGCUACAGCCUGGAACAGCUCAGGGCUCAAAGAAGACAACAAUAUGAUUAACCAACCGUGUCUUAUCUGUUUGGGCAUACACAGCAACAAGAAUGUUUUCUUUUUUCAUCUGAACUAUCCCCUCCCUGCAGUAAACCUGCUCUGUGACUUGAGGGGUGAGUAUGAAGCUUUCAUUUUUAUUGUAGGUGAAUUGUCUCUUGGCUUUAAAUGUCUGUGCGUGUGCACAUACAUGUGUGCUCAUAGAGGGCAGAGGUUGAUGUUGGGUGUCUCCCUCUAUUGCUCUCCAUAUUAUUAUUAUUAUUAUUAUUAUUAUUAUUAUUAUUUUGAGACAUGGUCUCUCUCACUGAACAUGCAGCCUUGGAGCCCACCAGUAUAACUAGAGUGUAGACUGUCUGGCCAACAAUCCUCAGGGAUCCUCUUGUUUUUGGGAUUGCAGGCUUGUACUGAUGUGUCUCACUUUUUUUGCAUAGGUAUCUGGGAUCCAAUCUUAGAUCCUCAUGACUGCAGAUGGUAUGACAGGGACAAUAUCCACUGAGCUAUCUUUUCCUGAGCCCCCACUGACUCUGAAUCUUAAGUAGAACAUUGAAACCAAUGCAAAAGUCACAAAGUGAAAACCAACUUAUGCUGUUUCCACAGGCACAUGCUGUAUCCCUUAUUCUUUUUGUCCACCUGUCUCUGUCUCCUUCUAUCUCUCUGAACAGCUAGGCACUCCAUACUUGUCUGCAAACUGCCCCCUUAUUUAGUCACUGUUCUUUGCAAGCCAUUUGGUUAGUGUGAGCUUGUGAGUUUUGAAUGGCUAGUUCUCUUCCAGGCCUCUCCUGAGUGGUGUGUAGGUUGUGCCCCCGCCCCCUCUAUCCACACCAAUGAUCCACAAGGGCUUGGGAGAUUGUGUCUGCAGGAUGUCCUUACAGACAGUGAACCAUCUCAUCAAAGGGACACAAGGCAGGGUCCUUUCACUGCUGUGGCAUUGAGGGGAGAUCUGCCAUGGGAGUCUGGGAAGGUGGGCAGAGGACAUACUAUCUCACUUAACCCUGGUUAUGUUCCCAGUUCUCACUGGGAGAAGGCUGUCCUUAGCCAGUUUGCACCUUGGUGGCCAGAGCCUCAGGCCAGGUCCUCUUAUCUUGUGGUCACCCAACACCAGGGCUACCCACAGCCCCUGGGCUUGCCUCAUCCAGCUUCGUCUGGAGUGGCAGAGUCACAGGGUGGCCUCUGUUGAGUAAAACUCUGUCUCUGAGGAAGCUGAACCGAGAGUAGACAGAGCCUGGGUGAGGGUGAUGUUCACACAGUAAGCACCACACACAGAGCUCUGUAUUUUCUGUGCAAACUCAAUGUCCCCAGGUACCAGCGGUUGAAGGACAUCUCACGCCAUUCACCUCUUUCAUCUUACAGGAUUUCAUUGGCCUACUGCUUGGUGUCUACUGGUUUGUAACACAAGAUCUGGUUUGAAUGUAACAGGGUCAUACGCCAGCACAGUGUGUACUUCACAGAGUGUGGCCAGCAGUCACAGGAUCCGUGGCAGUAUGGAAGGAGUUAUCACAUUAGUCAGAAGGUGGUAUACUGAGUAGGUGGUCUCUGGGCCAGAACCAGAACAUGAAGUAGAAAGCUGUGAUUAGCAUGUCCCUGGUGGGUCUAAAGACCUGGGGAAAGAAUUCCUCAGAUGUGAGAACUUAUUACACUAGAAUGACAUGGGUCAAACAAUUGACCAGCUAGACAGAGCCAAGGUUCAGGGAACAUGAGUGUAUACUACCCAGGGCUUCCUUCUAGCUCACUUCCCACCACCAAUGGGAUAGAGGUGACAGGUAUCUGAUGGGACAUGUGGACCCAGAAGCUACCUGUGUGUUGAGACCCAGCUUCAGCAAUCGCAGGGAGCCUGUUGCAAUGGUAUGUUACUUCCCUAAAUGUGGGGAGCCAGUUUCUGUGUCAGGGAGCACAGAACAGACACUUUAUACACACACACACACACACACACACACACA